rnacentral:rRNA from 1 species
CGGCGUGCCUAAUACAUGCAAGUCGAACGCACUCUCGUUUAGAUUGAAGGAGCUUGCUCCUGAUUGAUAAACAUUUGAGUGAGUGGCGGACGGGUGAGUAACACGUGGGUAACCUGCCCUAAAGUGGGGGAUAACAUUUGGAAACAGAUGCUAAUACCGCAUAAAACCUAACACCGCAUGGUGUAGGGUUGAAAGAUGGUUUCGGCUAUCACUUUAGGAUGGACCCGCGGUGCAUUAGUUAGUUGGUGAGGUAAAGGCUCACCAAGACCGUGAUGCAUAGCCGGCCUGAGAGGGUAAUCGGCCACACUGGGACUGAGACACGGCCCAGACUCCUACGGGAGGCAGCAGUAGGGAAUCUUCCACAAUGGACGAAAGUCUGAUGGAGCAACGCCGCGUGAGUGAAGAAGGUUUUCGGAUCGUAAAACUCUGUUGUUGGAGAAGAAUGUAUCUGAUAGUAACUGAUCAGGUAGUGACGGUAUCCAACCAGAAAGCCACGGCUAACUACGUG